GAUGAACGCUGGCGGCGUGCCUAAUACAUGCAAGUCGAACGAAACUUCUUUAUCACCGAGUGCUUGCACUCACCGAUAAAGAGUUGAGUGGCGAACGGGUGAGUAACACGUCGGCAACCUGCCCAAAAGAGGGGGAUAACACUUGGAAACAGGUGCUAAUACCGCAUAACCAUAGUUACCGCAUGGUAACUAUGUAAAAGGUGGCUAUACUACCGCUUUUGGAUGGGCCCGCGGCGCAUUAGCUAGUUGGUAGGGUAAAGGCUUACCAAGGCAAUGAUGCGUAGCCGAAUUGAGAGGUUGAUCGGCCACAUUGGGACUGAGACACGGCCCAAACUCCUACGGGAGGCAGCAGUAGGGAAUCUUCCACAAUGGGCGAAAGCCUGAUGGAGCAACGCCGCGUGGGUGAAGAAGGUCUUCGGAUCGUAAAACCCUGUUGUUAGAGAAGAAAGUGCGUGAGAGUAACUGUUCACGUUUCGACGGUAUCUAACCGGAAAGCCACGGCUAACUACGUG
rnacentral:rRNA from 1 species